rnacentral:lncRNA from 1 species
GGUUGGGUGGUGGAAGAAGGUUUCUCCGUAUGGCGGAAACGCGGAAGCAGGAAGAUCGUUAGGAUCCGAGAGACCAAGCAAGUUUCCAGUGUCAGCAAUUGAAUCUCCGAAACUAAUGAUUGAUUUGAAAUUCCGGCAUUGCGUUUGCGAGUUCACAGAAGUGACCAAAAGGGUAGAUAAUAUGAAUCUCACGAGCUUCAUCGCCGGAAGAGAAUCUAAAGAUGCCAUGGGAGAGGCCGGAAGGUUGUACUCCUUCUCUUUUCUAUUCGCUAGGAGACAAGAAAACAAUAAUCAAUUUUUAGGUAGAGAUCAGACUAGAGAAGGGCUUCACUUGCCGUGUUUGUCUAUUUGUUCAUAUUUGAUGUAGUGGUUGCAACUUUGAGGCUACUUUGAAAGAAAUGUUAUACCUGAUGGAAAUAUUAUAAUCAUUCCCUCCAAUCUCUCACAUAAAAUUCAAAGCAUUGUUAAUCUCUACAGUCUAAAAACAAAUACAAUAGAGCUCAAUUCAUGGAAAAUACAUUAUAAUCACUCCAAUGAAAAAGUGAAAUUAAUCUUCACUACCUGAUGGAGAGCCACAUAGAUUUGGUAAACUCUCCUUAGCUGAAUAUCUAAACUGAUGUUGGCAUGUUGCUGUGAGAACUAAAAAUUCUUCUCUGUUCAAGAAAGGAACAUUCCAAUGCCGUUGCUCCGUUUACGCCAUUAUUAACUCAUUUCUCAAAGUUUCCAUUUUUAGAUCCAAAGUAAGGAGGCACAUAAGGAAGCCCCAAAAAUUCAGCUGUAAGAAGGAAAAUUGGAGGAUCACUAUAGGUCUCAUACUGUUGACUUGCAGAUCAAGAAAUAGAAAAACAGAGAAAGAAACCGUGUCAGGAAAAAAAAAUGAAACCCUAAGAAUUCAGAUGUUUUCAUAUAUUUAUACAAAUUAAAUCGAAAACGUUGCGGAAAAACAAGAAAACUGAAAAAUAGUUUACAUAAGAAUCUAGAGACGCCAUGCGACAAGUCCUAAAAUUUCUCUCUUUUUAUUUUUUAUUUUAUUAUGAUUUUCAAAAUAUUUUGUUUUAGAAAAGUUAUAUAGAAUCAAAAGGCUGGUAUGGAUCAAUGAGUCAUCACUCAAUGAUCGUUUCCUGAACUAUCUAAUGAAUAAGGGUGGGGCAAGGCAAUUUACUUUGUAUUUGUAUCGUUUAAAACGAGCACUUUGACACUUAAUCAUGCUGAUUAGAAAAUAUCUAUUUUGCACAACUUUUAAAUAUUUAUUUAUUGAUUACGAAGUUCGGGACUUGUAUAUCUCCGGGGGCCAACGCCAUCUGGUAAGCAAUCCCUACAUGUCCAGCCAACAAGAGCACUUAAAAACAUAUUCCCUUGAUGUUUUAAAUUUUGGCACAUACAUUAAGAAAUCAUUAAAAUUUUUGUUUUAUCUAAUUUAAAUUAAACAUUUUUUUUAUCUAAUUAAAAACUAUUCCACCAAUCAGAAAACAAACAGCAAAAUACAAAUGGUCAAAACAAAUUAAAAAAAAAUAUUUAAUUUUGCAUUGGAAAUUAUAAACAUGAAAAAGUGAAAAAAAAAAAAAUCUUUGAACAUCAAUGAAAAUUAAACUAAGAAUUUAUUAAUUUAUAGAAAUUAUUAAUUUAUCGAGUACUAAUUUAUAAAGGUUUAGUGUAUUUGUUUUGGAAAAGUUAUAUAGAACCAAAUGGCUGAGACUCAAUGACAAUGAGCGUUUCUUGUUGUCUAAUAAAGAAGGUGGGGCAAUGCAUUUCACUUUGCAUGGCUUAGAAAUUUUUGUAUUUGUAUCGUUCAAAACGGGCACUUUGAUAAAUAUCUAUUUUGACAUUUUUAUUUAUUAUUGAUUUCUCCGGGGAAAGGCCAAAAGAACAUUUCAAAAUCACUCUCUCUGAUUUUGAUUAAUCCAAAAUUUAAGCUUUUCACACAUAUUCAGAAAAUAUAUUAAAUAUUGAUUAUAAAUACAUCAAUUUAUGAUUAACAAAUUUAAACCAAUAAAAGUAAAAAAGAAAAAGAAAAUUAAGGUCUACAAUUCAUCAUCAAUAAGUAAUAAAAAAAUACAUAGAAACCUAGAAACAUAUCUUUUUUGCAACAAAUUUGUUUGCUUGAAUUUGGAUUAAUAAGGAAUAGAGGGAAUAUUCUUAUCAUCACUUUUGUCUGUCAAAGUUUCACACAAGCUUGUGUCAGAGUACUUUGAUUGUACAAUGACUCCUUCUUAAUCUCAGAUCUGAGGCAGGACCGAUCAAAAGGAGGAUUCGCAUAUGGUCCAUUGAGUAUUCCAUCAGCUAUCCAUUUGUAUGCAGCCUCAGUCAUAUGAACGCCAUCCCAGCCCACAUACUUUGAAGGAUCCUUACAAGAUUUCACUCCUACACUCCCACAUUUCCUAGUGAAGUUGAAGUUGUACGGUCCUCCUAUACCGCAACAAGCAGGGAAGGGUCUUUCCAUGAACCCUGACAGUAUAAUUGAUAGGAAAAAUUGUCAAUACUAAAUCAGUGACGACUUAGGGUGUGUAGAUUCAGUGGAGGAAUCAAGAAGGCUAACCGAAUUUGGCUGGUUCUUUAAAAAUGCGCAAGAGAGAGUUGUAGUAGUCAGCGUAUAUGAUGUUGACAUGAGGGUAGAGCUUCCUAAGUCUGUUGAGUUCCACCUUAAGUUUCUCGCUAUGGUAUUCGCCAAACUUGUUCAACCAUUUCAAACAUCCUGUUGAAGGAUCGUAUUCGUCCUUGUUUGAUGUUUUGUAUAAUGUCAAAUAGACUACUGAGCAUCCGAUAGGGAACUCUCCGGGCACUAGAAAGGUUUUACCCCCCAUACCAAUCAACUCCUGGAUUCAACAUUAAGUCCCAAUGGAACAAACUCAUUAUAAACUCUGACAAACAAAUCAGCAGAUAGCUAGAAAUCUGUUUUCACUCGUUCUUAAGACUAACAAAACAAGAAUUCAAGAAAAAAAUGUAUACCGUUAUUGUAGAAGAAAUAGAAGCGAUUACAAAUGGAACCAGCUCUUCAACUUCCUUAACGGGUUUGCGGUUGAAGAAUGGGAAAUUAUAAUCAUUCCCUCCAAUCUCUCCCAUGAGAAUCAAAGCAUUUCCAAUCAUAUCUCUACAGUCUAAAAAACAUAUACAAGUGAGUAUUAGUUCACUAAAAUACAUAAUAAUCAUUCCACCGACAAAAGGAAAAAUUGUUGUUCACUACCUGAUGGUGAGCCGCAUAAAUUUGGUAAACUCUUUUUGAAGCUCUUUAGCUGAACUCCUAAACUAACGUUGGUGUGUGGUUGAAUUCCUCUCUUCUUAAGAAAGGAACUUUUCAGUGCCGUUGCUCCGGCUACCGCGAAAUUAACACCCUUAUCAAAGUUUCUAUUUUUAGAUCCAAAGUACGGAGGCACAUAAGGAAGCCCCACAAAUUCAGCUAUUAAAGGAAAAAUUAGACAAUCAGUUAAGGUCUCAUACUGUUAACUUGCAGUUCAAGAAAAAUAAAAACAGAGAAAGAGUUUACAUAAGUAACGCAAUAAAUAUCUCCAUAUUUUCAGAUUAUAAUACAAAUUAGGUAGAAAAAGUUGCCACAAAACAAGAAAGCAUAGGAAGAGUUUAGAUAAAACAAAAACAAAGAGGAAGAAAGAGCCAUAACUAAUUAAUAACUCUUUGGUUUCUUCUCACAUAGGUUCAAACACAAUUAUCAGUUUGAUUAUUAUCUUUUGGAUUCUUCUCAAGGACCAUAAUUUGAUAUUCACUCACAUCUCGAGUCAUAUAGAAAGAGAAGUACCGAUAAAGUCCAUGAUGAUGCGGCCAUCGCAGGAACGACCGGUUGGGUGGUGGAAGAAGGUUUCUCCGUACGGUGGAAACGCAGUCACAGGAAGCUGGUUACGAUCAGAGAGACCAACCAAGUUUCCCGUGUCCGCAAUCGAAUCGCCGAAACUGAUGAUCGACUUGAAAUUCGGGCACGGCGUUUCCGAGCUCACGAUAGUGACAAAAAGAGUAGAAAAAAGAAAGAUGACUAGAGAGUCUAGAGACGCCAUGCGAGAGGUCAGGAGUGAGUUUCUAUCUUAUUUUUUUUUAUUUUACAAAUGAUUCGUUUUGGGAAAGUUAUAUAGAGGCCAAUUGUGGAGGGAUGGACCGAUGACUCAUGACUAAACGAGGAUUUCUAGUUGUAAUAAAUAAAGCAAUUAACUUUCUAAUAACAACAAGACUUUGUAUUGGUAGGCGUGACCACCAAUCUAUAAAACGCGUACUUGGACUUCUAACCACCAUCUACAAAAUAUGUACUUGCGGCUUAUUUGCAAGCUAUUUACGAGUUAUUUUGUAGGUUAUUUGUUCUUUCCCAUAUUUUAAUUUGAUGUUGAAUUUCACUUCAUUUAUUUGUCAAUAACACGUAUUACGCUGAUUUGAAACCGGAUAAUAACAUAACUACGAUAAUAACAAAAACCACUAAAUUACAAAUCUUAGUCUUAUAAUUAAAAUUAUUAUAAAAAUCGUAUUAAUAUAUUGAUUUGUAAAGAGUAGUUUGGUUUUGUAUUGAAGACUAGAAGUCAAAUUGAUCCGUUCAACUCCUUGCCCAUUUUAUCAUCUCCUAUUCUGUUAUUUCUACCACUCAUGAAGUGGUCCAUUUUUGGAACAGUGCAUCUCCGACCGGUCUAAUCUAAGAUCUCUCUGAAGAUAUCACAUGAGUUAGCUACUAACACUUAACCACUCUCUCUCUCUCUCUCAAACAACAAUACACAAUGAUAUAAAAUAUCCAUGGAAAGCACUUAAGAACGUAUUUGUUUUCUUAUUAUCUCUCAGAGCUCCAACAAGCUUGUUUCAGCUGUUUGUCAAAAGAACACUACGUGUCUAAUGACUCCUUGCUCUUAAUUUUUGAGCCGAGGCAUAACCAAUGGAACGAAGGAAUCGUAUACGGACCCUUGAGUAAUCCAUCAGCUAUCCAUUUGUAUGCAGCUUCAGUCAUAUGAACGCCGUCCCAAUUCACAUACUUUGAAGGAUCACUACAAUAUUUUACUCCUACACUCCCACAUUUUUUACUUAAGGUGAAGUUGUACGGUCCUCCUAAACCGCAACAAGCAGGUAAGGGUCUGUCCAUGAACCCUAGUUGUACAAUGAAUUGAAUGAUUAACUCAAUUAUCAAAUUGAAUCAAUGAACUUGGGUUUUUAGGUAAUUAAACUAAGGAUCAAGAAAGCUAACCAAAUUUGGAUGGUUCUUGGUAAAGGCGCAACAGAGCAUUAAAGUAGUCACCAUAUAUGAUGUUGACAUGAGGGUAAAGUUUACUGAGUCUGUUGAGUUCUGCCUGAAGCUUCUCGUUGUAGUAUUCUGAAAAAUCGUUCAGCCAUGUCAAACAUCCUGUUAGAGGAUCAUACUCUUCCUUGUUUGAUGUUUGGUAUAAUGUUAAAUACGUUGCUGAGCAUCCGAGCGGGAAGUUUCCAGGAACUAGGAAUGUUCUUCCUCCCAUAUCGACCAACUCCUAGAUUCAACAUUCAGUACCAAAACACAAAAACAAAACAAAAAACAUAACAGUUUUUUGAAAAAAUUACUCGUUCUAGGGACUCGCUGAUCAAGAAUGUUUACCACAAUUGCAGAAGAAAUUUUAGUGAUCACCAACGGAACCAACUCUUUGACCUCACUGGUUUUGUUCACAAAGAAUGCGAAAUUAAAAUCAUUCCCUCCAAUCUCUCCCAUGAUAAUAAAAGCAUUUCCAAUCAUAUCUCUACAAUCUAAAAGCAAAGAAUUAAACCCAUUACAAGUGAGGUCAAUUCACUGCAAUAACGUAAUAAUCAUGACUCCACUAGCUAGAAAAGGGAAAAGUUGAUCUUCAGUACCUGUAGGUGAACCACAUAGAUUUGGUAAGCUCUCCUUGAAGGUCUUAAGCUGAAUUCCCAAACUGAUGUUGCUGUGAGGAUAAUAAAUUCCUCUCUUCUCAAGAAUGGAAGUUUCUAGUGCCGUUGCUCCCGCAACAGCGAAAUUAACUCCUUUCUCAAAGUUUCCAUUUUUAGAUCCAUAAAAAGGAGGCACAUGCGGUAACCCUAAGAAUUCAGCUGUAAAUAGAAAAUUGGAGAAUCACUUAAGGUCUCAUACUACUGUUAACUUGCAGAUCAAGAAAAACCAAAUCAGAGAAAGAGUCUACAUAAGAAACCCUAAUCAAGAAAAUCCAGAUUUUUAUAAAUCGGAAAAGCUGUGCCCACACAAGAAAACAGAGGUUCAAACGCAACUAUCAGUUUUUUUUUGUGUUUUUGGAUUCUUCUCAGAGAUUGAAGACGUCUAAAACACUCCAACUGAGACCAAUUAUAAGAUCAUGAUUCGAUACUUCAUCAGAUUUACAUUCCUAGUCACUUACUUACAUGUCAAGUUACAUAGAAAGAGAAGUACCGAUAAAGUCGAUGAUGAUACGGCCGUUGCAGGAACGGCCAGUUGGGUGGUGGAAGAAGGUUUCUCCAUACGGCAGAAACGCGGUCACAGGAAGAUGGUUACGAUCCGAGAGACCAACCAAGUUUCCUGUGUCGGUAAUCGAAUCACCGAAACUGAUAAUCGACUCGAGAUUCCGGCACUGCGUUUGUGAGCUCACGAUUGUGACAAAAAGGGUAGAUAAAA